rnacentral:lncRNA from 1 species
AACGGUCAGGAACCUAGGUCAGGACAGGCACACCUGCUUUCCCGCCCAAACUUCGCAUUUUCCAAGACCACCCUGGCUCUCCAUGCCCCCAUUCUGGGCCUAUAAAAACCCAAGACCCUUGCAGGCAGAUACACAAGUGGCUGGACGUCCUAAUGAACAACACAUCAGGGGAAGAAGACACAAGCGCUGGUCAUCCAUAGGAGCACCCCAGCAGAAGGACACGCUGACAGGCACCCGGAAGCCAGUAGGCCGUGGACCAGCGGGAGGAGGCGGAGGUUGGCCUGGGCAGUCAGGGGAGAGCCGGGGCUGCCGAGCACCCCAACUCCAGGGGAAAACCAUCUCCCUUCUGGCUGCCCCAUGGGCGGAGAGCUACUUCCACUCAAUAAAACUUUGCACUCAUUCUCCAAGCCUAUGGGUGAUCCGAUUCUUCAGGUACAACAAGGCAAGAACCCAGAUACAGAAAGCCCUCUGUUCUUGCCACAACGUAGAGGGCCUAAUUGAGCUGGUUAACACGAGCCGCCUAUAGAUGGCAGACUAAGAGAGUAUCCUGUAACAUGCCCACUGGGGCUUCAGGAGCUGUAAACAUUCACCCCUAGACCCUGCCCUGGGGUAGGAGUCCCACAGCCUGCCCGUCUGUAUGCUCCCCUGGAGGUCUGAGCAGCGGGGCACUGAAGAAGCCCGCUAUGCCCCCAUCGCGAGCCCCGCGAGGGGGAGGAGGGAGCCUUUGCCUUUUCAACUGGAGACAUCGACCGGGAUCCUGGAAGGUGAGUGUGUAUGAAUUGCGAAACUGUCUGGUCUUCCUCUCUUCUGAAACUCUGCCACCUCUCUCUCUUUCCUGUGAGUAAGAGACUCUGUUUCCCUUCAGGGAGUUUUAAACUGCCCUAACCGGCCGUCAAAACCCCCAGACUUUAAUUAUAAAAUAAGUAAUGAACAAUUCUUAAUCAGUUAUAAUAACAAUGAUAAAUUAUGUUAUUUAUAUAUUAAGUUACAAAUAUAGGCUACAAACAAUGAGUGCAUAUUUCUGUAAGCAAAUAUGCUAUAGGAUUUUAAAAUAAAUUACCUAAUUUAAUUAUUGGAUAAGUUUUAUUAACUAUUAUUAUAACUAUUCCUUAGGUGAAGGCAUAGAGGCUCUGAAAGUUCAAAUUAUUUGCUCUACUAACCAAUAUACAUUUUCAAUUAUGAAUUGGAAAAUGUAUGUCUAAGGAACUCAGUACUAAAUUUUUUUUCAUGUAUCAAGUGCAUUUUUAGUAUAUAAGGAGAAUAUGCAUUAUAUGUUGGCAAGAAGAUGUUGGGAUAAAUCAGGAAUUAUUUUUUAUCGAUCCUGGUCUAGAUAUACUUUAUAUGUAUUGUUACUUUUUUUAUCCUGACAAUGAAGCCUGUGAAUAAGAAAACCAUUAACCGUCAGAGAAAAAAGCCAUUCACAGGUAUAUAGUCAUCUAUUUUAAUUAAGCAUAUUAUAUUUAAUUAAAUAUAGCUAAUAGAAUUUUCUAAAUUUUACCUUUUGUUUUCAGUUUAGAGACCACCAAGAAAACAAUGAAAUAAAAUUUACAGAUUUAUGCCAAUUAUUUGUUAGAAAUGCCACAUUGGAAAUGAAAGCCACAAAUAUCAGUACUAACAUUUAUGCAUGUCAAUAUCUAAGAAGCAUCUGAACUCUCUUUUUUAUAUUUUGCUUGAAGUGUCAGAGAAUACCUUCAACAAAGUUGAUGGAAAAAGUUCUCUCGCGUAUUGAUUAGACGUACAUAAAUAGGAAUCUCAUGAUUGGAGAAUAGAGGAUACUAAUGCGUAGGCUAUCUCCCAUCUUCCCACUCAAGUUAAUCACAACUUUUUUCUUUAGUUAACUCCUCCUUUGUAUUCAGAAGUGAGUUUAGUCGUCUCCUAAAUCUUUUCUCUUGCCUCCUUGAUUUGUUCAAAUACCUUUAUGCCAUCAUAAGAAUAUUCACUUCUUCUUCAAAGCUUUUUCUUAGUUAUAAUAUUACAUGCAUUUUUGUAAGUCUUAAUGUUUGUCUCAUCUACUACAUGGUGAAUUUGAGGAGAACAAAGAUCAUGCGUCUUUUUUGUGGUUGAUAUUUUAACAUACUCUAGCUCCAGGACAGUGUCUGGCACAUAGUACAUAGGUAAUAAGUAUCCAGGAAAUGAAUGACAAGAUCUAUUUUCUUAAACAGAAAAGUAUUUGUGAAAUAUUACUCUUUCCUUGGCAAAUAAAAACCAUGAAAACAACAUUUUCUAUCAAUUGGGCAAGGAUCUGUGAUGGAUUGAUGGAAGGAGUAAACAAAGGAAUAAAAAUAAUUGAGGCCAAAAAUCUAUUUACCAUAAAUUACAAAUUCUAUACUUUGAACUUCUCUCUUGCUUUUUUUUUUCAAAUAUGUAUAAGUAGCUGCGGGAUGAAUAAACUUUUUCACUUUUGAAUUAUCUAGUGAUUCUAAACACAAAGGACCCUGGUAGGAUUCAGAAAACGUAAGUUGCAUUCAGAAUUAGUCAUUGAACAUAUGUUAUUGUGGUAAGUAGUGAGCAGCAGAAUUAGAGUUUUGAUUGAAAGUAUUUUUUCAAACCUCCUGUAAGACUGUUAAAGCCUUUUUGUUUCUGUGUGGGUCUUAAACUGUAAAACCUACCAGAAAUUUUUACUUUUUUAGUUUGCUAUGCCUAGGAAAUGGUUUAAACAAUUUAAAAUUUUGGAAAACAACAUGUAUUUUCAACACAUCGAUAAGUCACACACACACACACACAUAAAUAUGAUUUCUGAUUAGCGCUAGGAGAUUAUAAAGCUGAAUUGUUAAUCUAUUCAGUAAGAGAUUUUCACAAAAUAUAUUGAAAAAGAGAAAUAAUAAAUAAAAAUUAUAUACCAAUUUGACUGUUAAUUUAUGCUGAGGUAUAUAAAUGAUGCUACAACUUUCACAUCUGGGUCACUCUUGUUGAGAAAUGCAUAAAGGAGGAAACAAAGCAUAUAGAAUACAUGCUAGAAGAAAAUGCUUUUUCAACAGAAAAGAGGUUUGCUUGUUAAAAGACAAUUAAAAAAAAAUGGAUCAGCAGUUGCCACCUUACACAAGUCAGAAGGAUAUUUAUAGCUGAAUAUUCAGCCUGUAGCUUUCCAUAAAAGUUUUAAAUAUACAUUGAAAAUCUGAAGGAUCAUCUUCGAAAUCAACCCUAUCCAUUAGUAAUUUACAAUCUAUUUACUCUUAUUCAAUUCUAAGUAUGUCUGUGAGAUUUUAAAAUAUAUUCAGUGUUUCCCAUUAUACUUGGAGCUUUAGAGUAUUUUUUCACUCUCCAUUUGUGUAUGUGAGUGGCUAUAGGAGUGUUUCCUUGGAAGUUGUAGGUGGGUUUUUAGGACUGUUAUCUAUGAGCAUGCAUGGCUAUAAACGCAUUAAUUGAAGGGUAUUCAUGAUAACAGGACAGCUCUGACAUUGUUUUUGUCUUGUAGGAUUUGCUCUUUAUUUGGUGAUGUAAAAUUUAUCGUGGUCGCAUUUUGUUAAUGUUAAAAUAUUCUUCAAGAAUUCAUUUAACUAAGAUUGAUCAGAAUAACUAUAACUACAAAGAAAUGAUAUCAUGAGGAAAAAAUCUUUUUUGAAAUACCUAAUUAUCACUAGUAUUAAAUAAAUAAACCUUCAAAUGAUUCAGCAUGUUAUGGCUUCCGAACUUUUUUAUAUUCUACCUCAGUGCAACUAUAAAACAGAGCAUAUUAUACAGUUCAUCAUGCCUAGAUCAGAGGACUGGGGUUAUUCAAAUGCUAUAACUAUGAAUACUGCCACAUUUUGUUUAGUCCAAUUUAGCCUUCUAUGUCAUGGUUACUUCAUUUUAAAAAUUAAGAUGAUUUUUAGAAGAAGAUGGUUUAUGUGAUUAUAAGUUUUUAAUUAAUUUUGAAAUUAUACAAGUCUCUGAGGAGCAGAGCAAAGCUCAGAGAAUAAACGAUACACUGAAUGAACUAGUUAAGUAGUGGAAUCUGGAGUAUCCCUAAGUCAUCUGAUUAGUUUUUUGUGAAAAUCGGUAGAACUCUGUACGACAAUCGAAGGAUUAAAGUGUAUAUAUAUAUAUAUAUAUAUAUAUAUGUGUGUGUAUUUCUUUGUGAUCCUUUGAUAUAAAUAAUAAUAAAGUUAUUUCCUAAGUACAAAUCAUACUAAAUCUAAUUCACGUCUAGAUGCCAGAUAAAAUAACCAAAAUAAUAAUGUCUAACAUUUUUAUGAUAGUUAUAAAAUAUUUUCUCAAAUAUAUGCUCAUAUGUAGAAGGUGAUUUGAAUCAUGACUAUACAUGCAAUAAAAGAGUAAAUUUUGUUCACAUAAAUGCUCUGAUUAGACCAACGCAUUAUUGUACUCUGAAUUGGCUUUGAAAGCAUUAAAAUGUGUAAUUUAUGUAAUUCUAUGAGCUUUUUUACUUAUAACAUUUCAUUAUUUCGAGUAUUGAUUAUACCAUGUUCAGUAGUGAUCUGUGACAGGGAGGAUACAGAAAAUAGUACAUAUAGAUAACGAUACUUAUAACAUGAAAACUUAAUUUCAGACAAGAGAUUCUCAGUCACAAAAUUCCCUAAAAAGAAAAUGUAAUCAAUAACAAUGUUGGAUGAUUAUAAUUCCCAUAUUCACUAACUAGAGGUUUUAUCUGGCGAACUCAUCCUCAAAUGUUACUAGUUUUGCAUGUCCUCACUCAUAGUAUUGUGAUUAAAAUUUUCUUUGUUUUCUACCCCUAAAUACAGCUAAAUUUGGUAGAGAAAUUAAUAGACAAAUACAUGCCCCAGGUCCUGACAGAAGCUGUGUAAAAAGAUAGAAAAAGAGAUUAGUAAGAUUCCAAAUUUUUGGUAAGUUUUAUAUCCACAUUAAAAACAGAAGAGAACAUAAUUUAAGUUUUGUUCUAUUACCUAGUAAUACUGUAAUAUUAUUGGUUAGAGGUUAAUCAGCUCCCCUUCUUGCACAGCUAAUUAAAUUCACACUCCAAUCACUUCCCUUACUGGGCUCUCAUAUACCCGCCACUAUGCACCCACCCUCACAGCCCUACUGUUAUCCAAUAGCAUCAAUCUGAAGUCACUAGUUUUAUUUUUAGAGUAUGAUCCCCAAUAGAGGGAAGUUAAAGUGUGAUAACUUUAUUUAAAUUAAGAAGACAUCAACAAUUCUACUUAUUUUCUGAUUUUCCAAGUACCACAGAAUAGGGACAGGCUCUAUGUCCCAGAACCUGGACAGUUUUUCAAAUGAAACAUACAAAGGGAUCCAUCGAAACGUAGCUAACCUUAUUUCACUUGCCAUAUACAGGCUGCUCCUGAGGAUUCCAGCUUGCUAUUACCCUGUCUCUGGUAUAACUCCCUGUGUGACCCUGCCUGGCAGCCUUUUCUCAUUUGGAGGCAAAAAUAACAAAGAAAAAUUGCCUUUCAUCUAUCUAAGUGUCAUUGUGUUGUGUUCACCAUCAAAAGAAUCUGUAACUCUUAUAAAACACAGCCUUCUAAGGAAGGAUCAACUUCCUUAGAAUGCAAAUGUGAAAAAUACAAUUUACAACUGUAAGAACCAUGUAUUGGGUAUGUGCCGGAGAAAAUGAAUUUUCCACCUAGAAAUAAUCCAUGUUUUUUAAAAGGAAGUGAAAGAAAAAUUGAAAAUUAAAUUAUCGGAAAUCUAGAAAGAAUGAUUUCUGAGGAAAGAAACUAGACUUAACAUAGUAAAUAUUUGCACCUGCAAAAUUAAAGAAAUACAUAACCCCAUAAAUAUAGAAUAAAACAAAAUUUUACAGAAAAGAAUACAUUCAACUUGAAUUUACAUAUUAAAUCAUAUUUCUAUAGAGUUGAAUAACAAUAUGGUGCGACAUUUUCAUAUUCAGUGAAAGGUAACUUUCUUAUGUAUUAAAAAUUAAAAAUUCUCAAAGAAGUGGCAGAAAUUGUACAACUUAUAUAAACUUUUUAGUAUAUGUGCUGCCAAAGCGAGCACAACUUACUUAAACUUUUUAAACAUUUCAUAUAUAUCUGUUUGAUGUAGUAUUCAGUGUGGCCUUGAAAAUUCACGAAAAAUAAAAUAAAAAUAAGAAAUAGAAAAUUUUUAGCAUAUAGACUUAAUAAAACAAAAGAAUUACGUUAAGAAAUAUACAUAAAAAUUGAAAAGAUUCUUUUUAGAUGAAAGUUAAAGAACUAUUAAAUAAGUAUCUAAAAAUAUCAAUUUAAAGUCACUAUUUUUAUUUGAAAAGUAUGAUCACCUACAGAGAGAAGUCAGAGUGAUAACCUUAGCUAAAUUUAGAGGGCAUCAGCAAUACUUCUUAAUUUCUGUUUUUAAAUUUAAGAUGUAAAUAAUAGUGUAUUUUUAAAAUAUAAAAAACAAUCUAUAACUAUGAUAAAACCAAGCUGUGUAAUUAGUAAAUCUUGCUGAAAACAAAUGGUAAUAAAAUGCAUAAGCUGAAGGCAUAAUAUUUAGUAAAGAUCAAAACAAAUGUAGAAAAAUAGAUGCAAGAAAAAAGAACAGAAAUUAUAGCAGAUGUAAAUAUAAACUCUAAAAGAAGGGAAAUUAUUUAAACAUUAAAAGGCAAUUCUUUAAAAAGAAAAAUUUUAGUUGUUGAAAACUUGCAAAACUACACAGAAUCAAAAAUAAAGAUACAGAUGUGGAAGAAGACAUUAAACAGUUUGGAGAAUAAUGUGUAUGGGUUUAUGAAAAUAAAGAAAAUCUAGAUUAAAAAAUUCUAGCAAUUGAAUGAACAUUUUUCUGUUCAUUGCUUGCUAGUUUGGGAAUAGGAAGAAUCGCUUAGCCUUCAUUAGUGGCAAAGUUAUGCUAUUACAUCACCCUGUUCUCCAUUCCAGACAACUUUUAUUCUUACAAUUUGCUAAUACCCUUAAUGUAAGUAUUUUGAUAAAUCUAAAUUGUAUUUUGAACUCGAAUCAAUCUAGUUCUUAACAAAUCUUUAUUGCUAGAAUCAAUAUUCAUGGAAGAUUCUAAAACGAUGCAUACUCCUUCCAUCUGCUGUCAAAUUUUAAUUUCAUCUUUGUUUUAAGUCAGAGCAAUAGAGAACAGAGCUGCUUAUUUAGGCUUUUGCAGGUGUGUACUUAGCAAACUCUUGGCAUUAUGCCAUCAUCCUAUUUGGAGAGACUUUUUAAGGCAAGGAAUUCUGAAACUUCAUAAUAUCUUUAUUUCAAGCAUGCCAAGGAGAAUAUUUUCCUCUAUAUAGUAGCAUGCCAUGUAUAUGAGAAACCAUUUAGACAAAAAAACCUGUGAUGUUGAGUAAUUCAUAUGUGUAAUUAAGCAUGUCAAAUACUACCUAUGCAACAAAAGUGACAUAUGCUAAAUAAGCCUGCAAAAUACUAGUAAAACUAUGCCAAACACAUUUCCUAAAAGAAAAUUGAAUUUGACUACAAUUUUAAGUGGUGUUAUGCUUAAUAAAAUCUUAAUGUCAUAAGUUAUUAUAAGUUCUUUAUUUUGUGUUUUUCACUUGGAAUUUUAUAGGACUGAGUAUUUUUAUUUUGAAUAAUAAUUCCCUUUCUGCUUUGUCUUCUAGGAAUCUGAUAACCAAAAGUUCUAUUCACCUCAAGUAAUGAUGAUUACUUUUGUAGCUUUCAGUUUGUAUUCUAACACUAUGACUCUCCUUACAUAUUUCCUUGCCCUUAUUUUUCUACUCCUGUAUUUCCUUGUUUAAGUUUGUGUGGUAUGCUUUACUGUAAGGCACAGCAGAUUUUUCAGCGUGUCAAAAUAACAAUGAAAUGGGCUUAAAACAACAAUUAAUAGUAUAAUCUGACCAUCAACCAGUUAGAGAAAAAAAGCUAUAUC